CCUACGGGUGGCUGCAGUGGGGAAUAUUGGACAAUGGGCGAAAGCCUGAUCCAGCCAUGCCGCGUGUGUGAAGAAGGCCUUCGGGUUGUAAAGCACUUUCAGUGGGGAAGAAAGCCUUGGGGCUAAUACCCUCGAGGAAGGACAUCACCCACAGAAGAAGCACCGGCUGAACUCCGUGCCAGCAGCCGCGGUAAUACGGAGGGUGCGAGCGUUAAUCGGAAUUACUGGGCGUAAAGCGCGCGUAGGCGGUCUGAUAAGCCGGUUGUGAAAGCCCCGGGCUCAACCUGGGAACGGCAUCCGGAACUGUCAGGCUAGAGUGCAGGAGAGGAAGGUAGAAUUCCCGGUGUAGCGGUGAAAUGCGUAGAGAUCGGGAGGAAUACCAGUGGCGAAGGCGGCCUUCUGGACUGACACUGACGCUGAGGUGCGAAAGCGUGGGUAGCAAACAGGAUUAGAUACCCGGGUAGUC
rnacentral:rRNA from 1 species